UGUAGCUGCAGUAGUUUUAUAUGGUGAUGAGAGGUCAAGUAUAAGAUAUAAAGAAAAGAUUACCCAAUAAACAGUUACUGUGUUACAGAUCAGAUCAGGAAAGCAUAAUGACAUGGCCAUCCUAGUGUUACUAUAAGCUAAAAAAAGGAACUCGACAGUCCAGAGGCAAUUGGUCAUGGAAUCUUCAUCAGAAUGUUAAUACAUGAUUACAAAAAUAUUUUGACAUGCUCACAGACAACAACGAAUCAGCAAAAAUACUUCAGUAGAGAUACAUUUAGAUAUAUAAAAUCACAAAUGAAUACAAGACAUUAUAUGUCACUCGAUUACCUACCUCCCAAGUUCCAUGGAAGUAGUAUCAUUAGCUGGAACAGUCUCCACAGGCAUCGAGUCUUUGCCACAGCUUAUGCUUUGAUCCAAUUGAGGAUCCAAACUACCAAAAGUCAGUCCGCUCCUAAAAGAUUCAGCUGCUGCCUGAGAUGGCAAUACUGCAUCAAGAUUAUAAUAUAAAGUGAGAUUACCAAGAAUGGAAAAGUAAAAGAAGAAAGUGUGAAUCACAAGAGUUUUCCUUUCUCUCCUGCUCAAAUGAAACACACGGAGACACAGUGGAGUCGGUAACAGUGCGCUGGUUACCUAUCUCACGUUUUAUCGUACCAACUGUUCCUGGAUUUCGUGGGUUCAAGGCUGGCACUAGCACAGGAUCCGAUGAAGAAGAGUAGACACCAGAAACUGAUGCUGAAGUUGUGCUUUUCACAAGCUCAUGAGGUAUUGAUAUGAAAACUUUAUCUUUA